AGCAGCGGUUGGACUUUGCUGGAAAUUAAAAGCGAUCCCCCGUUCUCUAUUGACGAUCAUGAAUGCAAAGGUGCUGGGUGACGAUUAUGAUAUAUACAGUGAAGACACUUCGUAAAUCUAUUGCAACAAUGAGUGCAAGGACCACCGCCGCCUUGAAGGCGUCAACGCUGUCAAUCACACUGUAUGAACUGCCACUGCCACGGCAGGGUACUUGCAGCG